UGGGCCGCGUCUCUGAUCCAUCGGAAAACCCAAAUCACGCCCACGCCCACGCCCACGCCCACCGGUCCAUGUGCCGUGCCGUGCCGACGCCGCUCGCUGCCUCGCUCCUCCGUGCAUUCAAUCAGACUCGGUGAUCUUCCAGCCGCCCGCCAAGAACAAACCGACGCGGCGUGGCUGACACUCGUCGACCCAUCCCAAUAGAAAAAUCGGAACCGUCCAAGCCCGCCUCCUAUAAACUAACCAACGACCAACCUUCCUCAGCCCGGCCCGGGUGGCAGAGGCAGUCCCCAGAUUCAUUCUCUUCUCGCUGCACGCCGCACUGCGCCAGCGUCAGCAUGGGCGGCUGCGGCCUCGGACGCGGCCGCCGCACCGCCUGCCUGCUGCUGCUCCUCCCGCCGCUUCUCCUGUUCGCCGUGGCCGAUGCCGCCGCCUCGGGGAAGGAGAAGCAGGGGGUGUCCGGUAAGCUGCGGUUCCGGCGGGAGAGCGGGACGUUCAAGGUGGUGCAGGUGGCGGACAUGCACUACGCGGACGGCCGGAGCACGGCCUGCGAGGACGUGCUCCCUUCCCAGGUGGCCGGCUGCACCGACCUCAACACCACCGCCUUCCUCUACCGCGUCUUCCGCGCCGAGGACCCCGACCUCGUCGUCUUCACAGGUGAUAACAUCUAUGGUGCUGAUUCAACUGAUGCAGCCAAGUCUAUGGAUGCAGCAAUUGCUCCAGCCAUUGACAUGAAACUGCCUUGGGCUGCUGUGAUCGGGAACCAUGACCAAGAGGGUACGCUAUCGCGUGAGGGUGUGAUGCGUCACCUUGUGGGCAUGAAAAACACCCUUGCAAGCUUCAAUCCGGAAGGAAUUGAAAUUGAUGGUUACGGAAAUUACAAUUUGGAAGUUUCCGGGGUUGAAGGGACAUCCAUGGAUGAAAAAUCAGUGCUCAACCUGUAUUUCCUGGACAGCGGUGACUAUUCCACUGUGCCGUCAAUCAAUGGUUAUGGUUGGAUCAAGGCUUCACAGCAAGUCUGGUUCCAACAAACAUCUUCAAGUCUACAGGCAAAGUAUAUGAAUAAGAACCCGAAACAGAAGGAACCAGCACCUGGCCUUGUAUUUUUCCACAUUCCACUACCAGAGUUCAGCAGUUUUACGGCAUCCAAUUUCACAGGAGUAAAGCAGGAGGGUAUCAGCUCAGCAUCAAUUAACUCUGGGUUCUUUGCCUCCAUGGUGGAGGCUGGAGAUGUGAGAGCUGCCUUUGUGGGACAUGAUCACAUUAAUGACUUCUGUGGGAAGCUCAGUGGUAUUCAGCUCUGCUAUGCUGGUGGAUUUGGUUACCAUGCCUAUGGGAAAGCUGGGUGGUCAAGAAGAGCGAGGGUACUGUCUGUGCAACUUGAGAAAACAGACAGCGGUGAAUGGCGAGGAGUCAAGUCCAUCAAGACAUGGAAGAGGCUUGAUGAUAAACAUCUGAGCACAAUUGACUCUGAGGUUCUCUGGAACAGAGGCUCUAAUGGGAGGCGCGGGAAAAAUCCUGAUGGUAGUUAACUUUUGAUGCAGACAGGAAUGGUGCUCCAUAAGGGAUCUCUACAUCGGUGUGUAUUGUUGGAUGGCCAGUUUACUAUAGAAUCAGAAAUAUGCAGAAGUGUGUACAUGGGGGAGAAGGUCAAAUACAGACACAUACACGCAGGUGGUCUCAUAGACUCGUAUAUAGUGUGGUCAAAGGAAAACGAGAAUGCAAUGUCAUUGUAGUCUCAUCUCUCGUGUAUUGUUAAACUCGGUCGGAAAGAGAAAGACUGUCCUUCCAAUAUUAUAUUAAAAAAAGACCGAAACAUGGUUUCUGUCAAGAAAAUCCUUGAACCCUAGUGCCCAUUACUAGCAGGCUGUCACCAUGUAACCCAGGAGCAGGCAAAGCACAACAAGUGGAUUUUUUUAACCAUGUUAGAAAUUCGUCCUCGAGGGAAUCGAAUCGAAGACCUAGAGGGGUUACUCGGAAGUUUUAACCAUUACACUAGAGGCCCUUUCACUUAUCUCAUGUAUUGUUACUAGCACCGUCUAGCUGCAACUGAAACCUCAGAGCUGCCACAAUAUCAUUUUUCA